rnacentral:misc_RNA from 1 species
AGAGAUCAAAUCAAGAAAAUUAAAUGCUACCUCGAUGUUGAAUUAAGAAAAGAUCUAAUAGAAAAAAAUUAGAUUAUAGGUCUGUUCGACCUUUAAAUUCUUACAUGAUUUGAGUUAAGACCGGUGUAAGCCAGGUUGGUUUCUAUCUUCAUAAUAGAAGUUUUUAUAGUACGAAAGGACCUAAAAACUUAAUUUUAUUAAUUAAUUAGCUUAUAUAAAGCAAGUAUUUUGAAAAUACUAGAAAGAUUUAAAAAUUUAUUAAUUUUAUGU